rnacentral:rRNA from 1 species
UACGAAGGGGGCUAGCGUUGCUCGGAAUUACUGGGCGUAAAGGGCGCGUAGGCGGCACUGUUAGUCAGGCGUGAAAGUCCUGGGCUCAACCUGGGAACUGCGCUUGAUACGGCAGAGCUAGAGGAUGGAAGAGGCUCGCGGAAUUCCCAGUGUAGAGGUGAAAUUCGUAGAUAUUGGGAAGAACACCGGUGGCGAAGGCGGCGAGCUGGUCCAUUACUGACGCUGAGGCGCGUCAGCGUGGGGAGCAAACAGG